AGGAUCGUACAUCCUAUUAAGGAAUGGAAUGCAAAGCCUCUUGAAGAUCCCAUCCCAACUCCUAUUCCAACACGUCCACAUCGUGCAAGAUGGUAACAUGUGCUCAAGUCCAAUCCUUCGGACGGAUGGCGGCUCAUGGCUAAGCCCGACGCU
rnacentral:ribozyme from 1 species